GAUGAACGCUAGCGGCAGGCCUAAUACAUGCAAGUCGAGGGGUAUGGGUUGCUUGCAACCCAGAGACCGGCGCACGGGUGCGUAACGCGUAUGCAAUCUACCUUAAUCAGGGGGAUAGCCCGGAGAAAUCCGGAUUAACACCGCAUAACAUUGAGUUGUGGCAUCACAGUUCAAUCAAAUAUUUAUAGGAUUAAGAUGAGCAUGCGUGACAUUAGUUAGUUGGUGAGGUAACGGCUAACCAAGACCACGAUGUCUAGGGGAUCUGAGAGGAUGACCCCCCACACUGGUACUGAGACACGGACCAGACUCCUACGGGAGGCAGCAGUAAGGAAUAUUAGUCAAUGGGCGCAAGCCUGAACCAGCCAUGCCGCGUGCAGGAAGACGGCCCUAUGGGUUGUAAACUGCUUUUGUACCGGAAUAAACCUUCUCUUGCGAGAGAAGCUGAACGUACGGUAAGAAUAAGGAUCGGCUAACUCCGUG
rnacentral:rRNA from 1 species